GUGCUUGCUUUGGCAGCACAUAUACUAAAAUUGGAAUGAUACAGAGAAGCUUAGCAUGGCCCCUGAACAAGGACAACAAGCAAAUUUGUUGUGUUCCAUAUUUUU
rnacentral:snRNA from 1 species